AUUGAACGCUGGCGGCAGGCUUAACACAUGCAAGUCGAGCGAGCGGCGGACGGGUGAGUAAUGUAUGGGGACUGCCCGAUAGAGGGGGAUAACUACUGGAAACGGUGGCUAAUACCGCAUACUAUCGGAUAACCCAUAUGGGAUUAUCGAGUAGGUGGGGUAAAGGCUCACCUAGGCGACGAUCUCUCGCUGGUCUGAGAGGAUGAUCAGACACACGGGGACUUGGACACUGCCCAGACUCCUACGGAGGCAGACGUGGGGAAUAUUGAACAAUGGGCGCAAGCCUGAUGCAGCCAUGCCGCGUGUAUGAAGAAGGCCUUAGGGUUGUAAAGUACUUUCAGCGGGGAGGCGUUACCCGCAGAAGAAGCACCGGCUAACUCCGUGCCAGCAGCCGCGGUAAUUC
rnacentral:rRNA from 1 species